rnacentral:tRNA from 1 species
GCCCGUGCGGACGGCUCGACUCAGCUUCCCAAGCUGAAUACGCGGGUUCGAUUCCCGUCAUCGGCU